GGUAGCUUUUCUGACUCUUAAAGAGAUCUCAAGUACACUUUGAGAGAAAUGCCAGCAAAAGCUGUAGUCACUUGGGAAGGAAUAAGUCUGGAAGAAAAAGAUACAGCGAACUAGCACAACGAGGAGUUUGAAAAGUUCAUGAUGGCUCACAGCUGAUGAUAGUGGCAAUCUUAAGGAUACAGAAAGCUCAUUCCUCAUGCAGGGAAGAAGAAAAUAUUCUAAAGAAGAGAUAAGCAUAUUCCAUGAAAUCAAAAAAGCGUAAAAUGCUGGAGGAGAAGUCAGUAACAAGCAGCUAAGACAACAUGGUAUAUUUGGGUCCAGUUUGAAAAACACUAAGUGGGAUGGUUAAUUUUAUGUGUUCCCUUGGCUGGACCACGAUGGCAGAUAUUUGGUCAAACAUUAUUCUGGAUGUUUCUGUAAAGGAGUUUUUGGGCUAGAAGCCCACCAACUGCUAACAACCAGCUGGAGUGUAAGUCAAAAGCUAUGAGAGCCCAGAAGGAGAACAAUUAUUUAGACCUGGAGGGACCAGCUGGGAAAGUCUUUGAAGGGUCUUCAGAAAAUGGCCCAAAAGAAAAGAGGAAAAGUUAUUCUACUGAGAAGUGUUUGUGUAAUCAAAGCAACCGAGGCCUAAGAACUCACAAAAGAUUAGAAAAAGGUAAAGGAUGCCUGGAAAGCUGGACUAGGAAAAGGCUGUGAAGGGCCCUGAAUGUCACAUGUCACAUGUUGCCUACAGCAUGCAGAAUCAAAACAUGAUAAAUCAUGUCUUGAAUCAUGAUAUAUGAAGCAUGACACAUGAAUCAUGACAUGUGACAUGUUGAAUGUCACAUGUCACAUGCCAUAGGCAGCCAUCAAGAGUAUUUGAAAGGAAAGUGUAUAAUCAGGCCUGUGCUUUAGUAAGGUAA
rnacentral:antisense_RNA from 1 species